UGAUUGACCAAGCAAGACAGAGAUCUUGUGUCCUUGCCUGAGUUUGUGGGCGUUGCCUGAACUGUCAAUGCCUUAAUUCCUUUUACUGUUUAGCUUGUAAGACAAAACACAUCUCUUUUGCAAAGAUCUUCAGAACCAGGGAAAAUGUCAGGAUGGUAGAAUUAAGUUCCCCUGCACCAGAGGAGAGACAGCCAGUGAGUCUUGAUAACUCUUACUGGCUCAGAGCUGAAGAUUCACCUGCUGGAGAUUCUUGUCUGAGUCAUACCCUCAUUGCUGCAUAUUUCCUGGUACACCUCCUGGAGCCCUCUUCUGUGAUACACCUGGAGGCUGCUAAACCAGUACACCUGAUGACAUGACCUUUUUGAUGCCUACCAAGACAAGAGCCUACUACUGCUUUGAGCUGGUGGUGAGCAAGGACUUAGAGCUUCCUCACGUUAGCUGGAUUUUGGGACAAGGUUUUGUGUUUGGGACUAUUGUGUGUGUUAAUGGAAGAUGGCUACUGAGAUCCCAAAAUUGGGGACCUUGAGUUAAAUGUAUCCCUAGACAUUAAAAUCAGGCCUUGGUGUGGACCCAAGGGUUACAUAUCUGUAUCUUUUCAAACUGAAAUCGAUAUUCUCAUUCCAAGUUGGGAGCCCAUGUGGGGUUGUGGAUAGAAUGUUGGACUAGGGCUCAGGACACUUGUGUUAAAGUCCCCACUAGGCCAUGGAAACUCACUGGUGGAUGACAGUGGUAAACCACUCCUUGAUAGAGAUGGGUACGUACCACAGUUCAGUGGUUCAGCAUUGUAUGGAGGAUUGGGGCCACAGGUGUUGUGCAGUGCCUCAGUUUCUGCUCUCUGUCUCUUCCUGUGGAUGCCCACUAAGAGGAGGAGGUGGGGCAAGGAAGUCCACAUUGCGCCUUUUGAUGGGGCACCCAUGGGAGGAGGUGGGGCACAGAAUCCGGGGCAUCCCCACAGUACCUACAGCCCCGAUCCUCUGCACUGUGCUGAACCACAGAACCAUGGCAAGUGCCCAUAUCUAUGCUUUAAACCUCCUACAUAUCACAAAAACCCUACAAGAUUGCCGUGACUUGUUAGUGACUUAGUGGCACAUCACAGUAACAUUUGCAAGCAACGUUGGACAUUCCUGCCUUGCACAACCCUCCCAGUUCUGAUCCCUUUAUCCUUUGGUUGCAAAGUGUUCAAUGAACUUACCCUAGCUCAUUGAAAUUUUCAGUUAUUAUGACUAUCUAGUUCAAACCAGAGACACCUUAGUCUUUAACCCUGUCCAUUCCAAUUCUAGAUUUCAUAGAAGUGGGAGAUGUGAAAUGAACCAACUUCACAGGCAACAAUUUUUCUCCCUUCAUAGAAGGUUUUCAACAAGGUUUGAGUGGUCAUAUUUCAGAGAAGCUUUAAAAGUGGCCGUUCUGUUUUGGCAGCGUUUAGAAUAGAUGACCCUGAGAGCCACCCUUUCCAACACAAUGAUUUUUUUUUCAUAAUUCUAUGAUUGAAAUCCUGUUGCUCAAAAGAUGUAACCUUUGGAGGUGAGUUGCUGCAGUUUGAUAAAUCUCCAUAGAUAUUAUCUGGUGCAUCUGAGUUUUAUUUAUGAAGUAGUUGCAUCCAGAAAAUUCACAACACUCUCAAGUUAGAAAUUGGUUGCCAUGCAGUAACAUGUUUGUUGUUCCUUGCCUCUUCUUUUCUCCCUUGACAACAUACGACCAUCUUUACUUUGAAAUAGCUGAAAACAAAGGAUUCUUGGAACUUUAUACAUUUUUAGGAGUCCUGCUGGCAUAUCACCUGGAGCAAAAAAUCUCAGUUUCCUUCCUCCCCCUCUUCUUGGCAUCUUCUUUUAAGUUUAAACGGCAUAAAACUUGCUUUCAUAAAUUUAGUUUUACAUUCAAGCCACACUACUGUGCCUUAAAUUACUGGAAACAAGUUGGAUGUGGAGAUAAUAUUUAGGCACUUUUUAAUAAGAGGAUUUCUCUAGAGCAUCUAGAUGGAGAUGGUGUAUCAAGGCUCUUACAUUUUAGAAUAAUUGAGUCACAAAAAUUGAACUAUCUGGUAUGAGGUUAAAGGAAAGAGAAGAAAAGAGCCCAUGGCCAAAGAGACCUUCCCCUUCCAUUCUGAAAUAAC